CCUACGGGUGGCAGCAGUGAGGAAUAUUGGUCAAUGGCCGGAAGGCUGAACCAGCCAUGCCGCGUGAAGGUCAGUGCCCUAUGGGCGUUAAACUUCUUUUGUGCGGGAGCAAUACUGGUCACGUGUGGCCAGACGAGAGUACCGUACGAAUAAGCAUCGGCUAACUCCGUGCCAGCAGCCGCGGUAAUACGGGGGAUGCAAGCGUUAUCCGGAUUUAUUGGGUUUAAAGGGUGCGUAGGCUGUGCGGUAAGUCAGCGGUGAAAUGCCCCCGCUCAACGGGGUGAAGUGCCAUUGAUACUGCCUGGCUGGAAUGCGGAUGCCGUGGGAGGAAUGUGUGGUGUAGCGGUGAAAUGCAUAGAUAUCACACAGAACACCGAUUGCGAAGGCAUCUCACGAAUCCGCGAUUGACGCUGAUGCACGAAAGCGUGGGUAUCAAACAGGAUUAGAUACCGUGUAGUC
rnacentral:rRNA from 1 species